UCGGAAUCACUGGGCGUAAAGCGCACGUAGGCGGCUUUUUAAGUCAGGGGUGAAAUCCUGGAGGUCAACUCCAGAACUGCCUUUGAUACUGAGAAGCUUGAGUCCGGGAGAGGUGAGUGGAACUGCGAGUGUAGAGGUGAAAUUCGUAGAUAUUCGCAAGAACGCCAGUGGCGAAGGCGGCUCACUGGCCCGGUACUGACGCUGAGGUGCGAAAGCGUGGGGAGCAAACAGG
rnacentral:rRNA from 1 species